GGGAGAAGCCGUACAAAAAGCACUUCCCCAUUCAGCACAGACAACCUCAUUUAUUUUUGAUCAAUGCUUUAAUAGCUAAAUGUUCACAAGCACCACUAUACAUUUGUUUUCACAAAAUUACUUGAUACAUAUAGUAUACAGUAGGAUUAUCAAUAAUAAGAAAACAAAGAUUAACCAUCUUAGAGUUUCAUCUCCCAUAAGUGUAGUGAUAGAAACUGACACAUUACCACAGAAUGUCCCCCCAUUUUGAACUGAUGCUCCCAGUCCUUUAUACCUGAUUAUCUUGAUUCUGCUAAUGUGAUCUAACUCUCUCUCUCCCUGUCCCUCAGCAGCUCACAACAGUUCGACUUCAAUACAAACCAUGUUCCCUGCAUCUCUGCUGCUUCUGGCAGUUGCCUCCUGUGGCUACUGUGUUGUUGAACUUAUCCAGUCUGGUCCAGUGGUUAGAAAACCAGGAGAGUCUCAGCAUUAUAUUCUCAAUGUCCUCGCUGGAUAUGACAAGCUGAAGGCAAAGCUUUGGAGUAUGUUGGUUAUACAUGUAUUAGUAGUACCUCCACUGUAGACUCACUGAAGAUCAAGAUCAGUUCUAUAUACAACAGCUCCAGCAGUACAGCGUUUCUACAAGGGAACAACUUCCAGACUGAAGACACAGCUGUUUAUUACUGUGUCUGUGAGACACAGUGAUACAAACCACAACCAGAGAUGUACAAAAACAUAUUUUCCAGGGAUUCAUUGUAUAACAGGACUAAUUAAAAUAAAUAGAACAUAGAUGUUUCUCAAUAUGAAAUAUGUAAACGAAUAUAAGCCCAUCAUUAGCAGAGCUGGGAAUGUAUAUCUGAGUUGUUUGCCAAUUAUACUCCUGAUAUGACUUGAAGGUAUUCUAAUUGAUGUCUAUCAAACGUUCAAUGAACUCAUUCAUGAUUCAUUUCUUUAAUGUUUUAAUCAUUCACAUGAUAAAGUUGUCCAGUACCGGACAAGAAGGUCUAAGUUCUGUGGUAUCAAAAAUAUGCAAAUUAUUAUGAUAUAAAUACAGAUAUAUGCAACAAUAUAAAGACUGCGGACAAUUGACACUAAUUGGUUAUGAUACAAAAAAUAUUGUCAGAGUGUAAAGCUCAAUGUAUAAGAGUCCUGCCUAACAUUAUCCUCCAGCAUCAGUCUGUUUUUUUCACGGAGAACACAUUAGACUAUGUAUAGCUUGCACAGCUAUUACGUAUUUUUUCCCCUCCAGAUAUUCCCAUUAAUUAUAUAUAUCCUCUACUUAUGCAAAUUCUACCCAGCCUCUCUUCCUUUCUCUCCCUCUACCUCCUAUAUAAAACCUCUCUGUAUCUGAGAAUCCCUGCACGUCCCUCUGAGUCCUGGAGAGUAGAGAAGAGCAACUCACACCAGUUCAGCUUCAGCACAAAUCAUGUUCCCUGCAUCUCUGCUGCUGAUGCUGGCAGCUGCCUCCUGUGUCCACUGUCAGGUCGUACUCACACAGGCUGAACAGUCAGUCCAGGGGAGCCCCGGGGGAUCCCUCAAACUCCUGUAGUGUGCCUGUAGUGGAUUUACUCUAAGCAGCACUAAUAUGUACUGGAUCCGCCAGGCACCUGGAAAAGGACUUGAAUGGAUUGUUUACUAUUAUUCUGACAGUGACAAGAGCAAUGCCCAGGUAGUACAGAGUAGAUUCACAGCGUUGAAGGACAGCAGUAAUUUCUAUCUCCACAUGAGCCAGUUGAAGCCAGAGGACUCUGCAGUGUAUUACUUUGCUAGAGACUCACUAUGGUUAAACUAAUGAGAAUAGUUGUACAAAAACCAUCUGGUAGAGAAAGGAAGGACGUGUACAAACACAUGACAAGGGGAAACAUAAGGAACAAUUCUAAUGAUGUAUUAAAUAAUAACACAAUGAUACACCUGUUAAAUACAUGGUGCUAGUGUUGUUGAUGCACCAACAGGGGCCCCUCUCUCUCCAUAUGAUUAAAAUAAAGACCAGUACUGAUGAAGGGUGUGCUAUUUCAUUUUAUUACAGGAAAAAAAUAUAUAAUAUGGAUGGAUGUUGAUUAAAUAUACUUUACAGUUUGUCAAGAUGAAAGUAAAGUGUCUUAAAUAUGUUUCAUUCACCUUAAGUAUUAACUAAUACUUGAAUGUAGUGUUUCAUAUCCCCCCUUCACAUUCAAAAAUAUAACCGAUAGAGGGUCUCUGGCUUAGGUUGUGUCCAGUUAUAGAUGUAAUGCAUCAAUACAUCAAUGCAACCCACAGCCAUUCAUACAUGUUUGUCUCUUUGUAUACAGGACACCAAACAAUGUGUUACGUCAGUUGUUUUACCAUUGUGUUAGUCAGUUGUUUUCCUAUUG